rnacentral:tRNA from 1 species
CGCGGGGUGGAGCAGCCCGGUAGCUCGUCGGGCUCAUAACCCGAAGGUCAGAGGUUCGAAUCCUCUCCCCGCUACCA